ACAGAGGUAUUUCCAUAUUAACUGGGUACUGUGGGACACCCUGGAGCUGGCUGUUCCAUGGCUGUUCACCUUUCAGAUCCAUGCUCCUCUGCCUUCUGAUGUACAGUACAGAAUACAUGUACUUUGCUGAAACUUAACUGAAUUACUCUUCUGUCACCCAGGCUCUGUGAUGCUAUAAAGGCUGGUUAACAUAUAUAUGAAAGCCAUGGCUCACCACUGCACUUUGUGUGACACAUGCUCUUGUCAAAGGCUUUCAUCACAAAAAAACAUUAAAAAGUCAUGACCACUACCGAAAAGAUCCAGAAACAGGACUAACAAGUAAAGAUGUCAAGAAGCGCCCUACCCCCUCCUUCCUUGGAUUUUGAAUGGGAAGAGAAAGCUCUUGUUUUAGUCACUUUUUAUUUUUUGUGCCUCCUCAACACAUGGUGCUACAGCAGUUAAAUCCUCACGUGGUUUACAUGAAGGCCUCUUGUUGCCAAACACCUGCAAUCAGUAGCUCACCAUUUGGCUGGGAAGUCAAAGACAAGACACAUGCCGUGCUGAAACCACAUCACUCCCUUCCCUGAAUGCUGCAAAGCUGCAGGGGGAGUACCUAGCAGUGCCUUAGGGUUUGCAGUCAGCUCUAGAGCGUGUGUCUUAUGUGUACUCAGCAGUUACGUCCAGAGAGUCUGUGUGGAAAGCAUCAUAUCCCUCAGGAUCAGAGAUCGUGCACUACCUGGACAGGAUGGUGACGGCAACCUUGCUGAAGCACACAGAAGGCCAAUUUGUAAUAUGUUUCUCAUGUUGUUCUCUCGAACAAUGAUUAGAACCCAUGUUCGUGUAAAACAUGCUUUCUGUGGUUGUAUCAUUAACUGUAGCAAGGUCAGUGUGCUCCCCAGAUGUGCUUCCAUUAUCCAGUUCGGCUGGGUUAGAGCACAGGACACAUCACAAAGGGGAGGAAUGUUCACAGCACCAGCUUUGCUGUUGCCUGAGGACAAAAGCAAGUCCUAUGGAUGGAGCCUGGCUGUGGAGAGGCACUUGCUUUGCUGCAAAGGGGAACGGAAGCCACUUAAUGUGCUGCUGCUGCUUGAUUGCUGUAGGGGAAGGAGGAUUUUCUGCCAGAGGUGACAUGAGAGCUUUAUCUACUGUGACGAUGGCCACAAGCUAAACACUAUGUGCAGCUUAAGCUACAUGAGAUGAUUGUACCUACUGUAGCUUCACAUUGCUGCCAGAUGACCGAAAAAGAAAACUUGAAGCUAAAUUUGGGUGUGCUCUCUCUUUUGGAAUACAUUUAAUAUGCAGUUCCCUUUUCUUUCUCAAUUCAAGCAUAGCUUCUAAAGCAUACCUGUGAAUCACUCUUAAAAGCAUCAACCUCAGCCGUUUCAAAGCAUUACAAAUUCAAAGCAGAUUGACCCAUUUGCCUAUAAUAAAGCAGUUUAACUGACUUGUUAAUUUUAGCUGAUGUUUCCAGACAGUAGCAUUCUUACUUCUAGAGCCUGAUGAAUGUGAUUUUGAUGCCUCCAAGUCAGUAAUAAUUUACCUUACAUAUACUAACAUAACAUUAAAUAUGAAGAAGUGUGUCACCGUCAAGCCUUACGUAAACUUGUUUCAGGCUCACUCAGUACACUCGAUUCUGUUCACUCCCCAUUCUCAUUUCUCUAUUCCCCUUUGAUUUUCUGGUAGUCUUGUCUGUUGUUUCAACAGCACAUUCUAUCCUCUAGAACAACUCUGUCACUGCUCCUUGCCUUUCCAAAUAAUUCUGUAUGGGAUCUUAUAGUAGUGA
ensembl:lncRNA